UCACCCCGUUGGCUCCAUGGCCGAGCAGGGACUCGAACCCGGAUUGCCUGAGUCCCAGUCCCACGCUCUUCACCACCACACCACACUGGCUCUCAAAUCUUGUGCUGGAAAGUCCUUUAUUCUUCAAAGACACACAUAUUCAUUCGAAUUACCUUCUUUGGAAUUACUCCUUGUCUCUUGGAAUUUAUCGCAAGAUUGAUGUAAAUAGAUUUUCCUCACCCUUUUUGCACCUGAAGAAUGCAUAUGAAAUAGUGGAAAGAUAGAGAGAUAAACUGCCUUAACACAAUGGGCCUCACUCCGUUUCCAUGUUUCAUUUUCAUAGAACUGUAGAGUUGGGAGGGCCCUUAGAGAUCAUCUGAUACAGGCCACUGCUCAAUGUAGGAUGAACCUACAGGGUCUGACAUGUCUUGAGUGAAGUCCCCCACCUCUUGUACGAAACUGUUCCAAUGACAAUUGGGCACUUUUAAGAGCGUGUUUCUGCAUAGUUUAAGCACAGAUUCUAGUCUUGCCCUAUGGAACAGCACCAAGUAGUUAUGCUACAUCACAUUUUGAAGAUCCAGAAGUGUAUUUACCAUUCUGCAUUCCAAAACUGUUUUGAUUUGUUUUGGGAUAUGGUUUUUUUUAAAAAAACGUUCUUCAGUAAUAUACACAUACAGUGAAAUAUGUAUGGUGGGACCAUUUCCUCCUUGCGAUCGGAAUAAACAAUAUGCCUGGGUGGAUACAAUAUUAAUCAAUAUCUAAUUUCAUAGUUGGGCAACUGUUUUUAAUGACUAUGUGCUUUUGAUACUUUGUUGCAAACAAAGAGCUUCAGUUCAUUCCCAUAAGCACUUGUCAAGGAAAGGGCAAAUUCAUUUCCUUGUCAUCAUGUAGAAGCCAAAAGGCUCAUUAGGCUAAUUAAGAAGAGGCUCAUUGGGGCUUCUGCUCAUUCAAAAGUGGCAGAAUUUCCAUCCUUCAGGGGUCAUAAUGGGAGUCCCCCAUACUUAUCAAAAAUUGGAGACUGAAAUCGGUUAGGGAAGAAAUGCAACUUAGCAGCACACCAGAAAGCAUCCCUAACUCAGCGCAUAAUUCAUGAACAUCCACGGGCCUCACAUCACAAACCAUGUGGCCACCAAGCAUGCUUUGCAUUAUGGAUGCCCCACUCGAGUUACGUGGGAUCUUUCUCCAACGCGAUUCACAAGUAGCUCUUUUCUUCCAAAGCUUCCAGUAUCAUCUCUCGAAAACCACAUUCGGGAAGAGUUCACCUAUUUCAAGUGCUCGUCUCAGCGGGGCUCUGCCCUAUUUCAUUGGCUCUUUCCUGGUCAAGCCAGGCUAUGACAUCAAAAAGCAGUUAGGUCUGACGAGAUCCUGGAAGACAUGAUGGCCUCACCUCACCCUCUGGGGGUAUCCAAGGCCAAGAUCUGGAGCGUGCAUGGAACUGGUCUCUGCCUUCUAAGAAGGAUCGGUGGGUGGAAAGUCUCAAGUUGCCAAGCACGUGUUGCAUUCUUAGAGCUACGCUUAGCAUAUUGUUCGACUGGAAUGGAUUGAUGGCUAGACAGAUGGUUGCUUCAGUAGUGAUUGCUUUUUGGUGAGGACCGAAGCAACAAAACACCUUUCAUCGGUUCCGCAAGGACCUCAGUCAUACCUCAGUCAUACGUCCCCUCCAUUGUUACUCCUUCUGUUCAGCUACAAGAGGGUAUGGUCCUAUCACCUUCCGAUGUUCCCUGAAGGAGCUUCUACAACCUUGGAGCUGAGACUCGGAAAACUACAGCUGACAUAGAAAGAAAUGUACUGAAUGCCACUUCGAGGACACAGUCCGGAAGAUUUGGACUGAAACCAAGCCUCUGUUCUGCCAUUUGCACACAUUUACACAAUUUGCCCGCUUUUGUGUAAAUGGAGAGCCAAUUUUGCUACAUAUUGUACUGCAGAAAAGAGAAGAGAAAAGAGAGACAACAAAAUGAAGCUACAUCAAUGGAAUGGGACGGAACAAAACGAAGCAAUAAAAUAACUUUGCAGGCUGGUUUGACUCAAGGACAUUUCCAAAGAAUGGACAGAAUGGAACCUGUGGAACUGAGUUGAGAAAACCUGUUGGAUUUUCAGCUGCUAUAGUCCAGGCU